GUUGGGCCUGCUCGGUGAGAAGAAAAUUUAACAGCUGCGGUAUUAUAACUGUACUAAGGUAGCAUAAUAAUUUGCCUUAUAAAUUAAGGCUAGAAUGAAUGGUUUGACGAAAAUUAGACUGUCUUUAUUUUAUUUGUUAGAAAUUAAUUUUUAUAGUGAAAAAGCUUGAAUAAUUUAAGGGGACGAGAAGACCCUAUUGAGCUUUAUUUAUUAAUAUUUAAAUAUAAAUAUAUAAUUUAUAUUAUGAAAAUUAUGUUGUAUAUAUAUAUAUAUAUAUUUAAUUGGAUUUAAUUUUGAUUGGGGUGAUCAAGGAAUAAAGAUAAAGUAACUUCCUUAAAAUUAAUGAUUGUUUUUAUAGAGUAAUAAACCAAGUUUUUUGCUUAUAAGAUAAGUUACCAUAGGGGUAACAGCGUAAUUUUUUUUGAGAGUUCAUAUUGAAAAAAGAGAUUGCGACCUCGAUGUUGGAUUAAAAAUUACCUUAAGG
rnacentral:rRNA from 1 species